AGGACGAACGCUGGCGGCGUGCUUAACACAUGCAAGUCAAGGGGGCCCAGUAGCAAUACUGGGCAACCGGCGAACGGGUGCGUAACACGUGAGCAACCUACCGAAAUGUGGGGGAUAGCCGGCCUAACGGCCGAGUAAUACCGCAUACGCUCUUGAUGAGGCAUUUCAUUGAGAGGAAACCUACGGGACAUUUCGAGGGGCUCGCGGCCCAUCAGCUAGUUGGCGAGGUAACGGCUCACCAAGGCAACGACGGGUAG
rnacentral:rRNA from 1 species